CAUGCCAGAACAGAAUCGAACCCGGGCCGCCCGCGUGGCAGGCGAGCAUUCUACCACUGAACCACCGAUGC